UCAGUAUAGUUGGUUUCAUUUGUAAUCCUAUAUAUUUUAUUCUGUAUUUAAGAACAUUGUUCUGAGAAAGUCUAUAGGCUUUAGCAAACUACCAGAGGGGUCUAUGACACAAAAAAAGGUUAAGAACCUCUGGUCUAGGUACCACCAUACUUCAUAACCUUGAAAACAUCCUUUAUUCUUCCUUUUCUCUCAAUCUGAUUCUACCUCCACAACAUUUCUUUUUACAUCUGUCCCCUCUUCAUUCACAGAGCCACCACCCCUAGUUAAAAGUCCUUAUUUCCUCACUCCUGGACUAUUUCACUUACCCCUUAAUUAGUCUUCCUUUUUUCAGUCUUUCCCCAGUCCAUCCUCUGCUUAGCUGCCAAAUCUUCUUAAAGCACAGAUCUGACCAUGUGAGUCUGUUACUCAGGAAUCUUUAAUUGCUGCUAGGAUAAAAUACAUCUCCUUGAAAUUCUUUAAAAUUCUUCAGUAUGACACCAGCCUGCUUUAAAAUUUUUUCAUUUUUAAAAAGCUGGAGAUUAAAUACCAAAAGGAGCAUUUCCAGCAGCAGAACUCAAAAAGAGGAAUGCAUGUGAAACAAUCUCCUUUUCAAUAUUGCUUUUUAAAAGACAUAAAAAAUAUAAAAUUUUAAAAUUCUACUUAUACUUUAAAAAUUGUUCUGCUUGUAUGUGUUUCCUCCUGAACUUGCUUCUGUUCUCUUAUGUGCAUUCUAAAAAACGUUUCAGUAGCCUUUUUUUUUUCAUGACAGUAUUGCUAAUUCUCCCUUUUCCAGGCUACCCCUACCUCAUUAAAAGACAAGAGAAAAAGGGGAAAAACUUCAUGUAAAAAAGUGGAAGUGUUGGAGAACUGGGCAGCCAGCCCCCAUUCAGGCAGACUUCUUGGCCAGAAGCCUUUCCCGACUUAAUAAAAUAUCAUAAAUUCUACAUUCCAGACAAACUAGCAUACUUGCUGAGCCUCAUAUUAAAAAUUCCAUUCCCUACUUAUGUGCCUUUGCUUAGCCUGCCCCUUAGUGCUUUUGACUAACUUUUCAUCUCUACUUUUGGAAUCUCCAGUUUCCUUUUGAGUCUGAGUCCAGGUAACAUCCCCUGCAUGAGGACUGUCCCAAUCCUUCCAGUUGUUAUUGCCACCCCCGCCUCCCCAUAUUUGUAUUUGUACUGGUGUGUGACAGUGGUGUACCCUGGGUGUGCAAUAAUUAGGUAUCUCUGAGUGACUCUGUCAGUACAGCAGUAGCAUUAAAAACUCAUAAAAGCUUG